AUGGCCCUAGUUGCCUGGCCUGGCUACGCCCCUGCGUGUUGUUGUCCGUCUAUACAGUUUGCCUCAACGGCUUGUUCGUCUUAUCGGAGCUCCGAUGAAGAUUUAGAAGGUCACCAUAGUAACGCCGACGACAAGGACCUUGUAGUCAUAGUGUCAUACACGGUUGCUUUUUCUUUUGUUGUAGGCCGGCUGCUUGUGGUUGUUUUAUGUAUCGUACUCCCUCGGUCUCAAAAUAAGUGUCGUGGUUUUAGUUCAAGCACGACACUUAUUUUGGGACGGAGAGAGUAUAUGCCUACAGGUGCACAUCAUACUUGUACGCCUUACCUGACCAUCAAUAGCUAA
rnacentral:rRNA from 1 species